rnacentral:rRNA from 1 species
CUGACGCCACACUGCCGAGAAACAAUGGCGCUGGCGUUGAAGCACCGCUGCCCGUACCGGAAACCGACACAGGUGGGCUGGGUUAGCAGCCUAAGGCGUCGGGGGAACUCCCCUCAAGGAACUCGGCAAGUUGCCCCCGUACCUUCGGAAGAAGGGGGGCCCGUGGAGGUGAAGCCCUCGCGGCGUAAGCCUCUGCGGGUCGCAGAGACCGGGCGGUGCCGACUGUUUACCAAAAACACAGGACUACGCAAACCCGUAAGGGGCUGUAUGUGGUCUGAAGCCUGGCCAGUGCCCGUAGGUGAAGGGGCGGGGUGCAAGCCCCAAACCGAAGCCCGGGUAAACGCCGGCCGUAACUCUGACGGUCCUAAGGUAGCGAAAUUCCUUGUCGGGUAAGUUCCGACCUGCAUGAAUGGCCCAACGAGUGCCGCACUGUCUCGAGGGGAGGCCCGGCGAAAUUGUGAUGCCGGUCAAGACGCCGGCUACCCGCGGCAGGACGGAAAGACCCCGUGAAGCUUCACUGUAGCCUGGUACUGAGUCUUAGCCUAUCCUGCGCAGGAUAGGUGGGAGCCUGUGAAGUCCCUCCUCCGGGAGGGAUGGAGGCGCCGGUGAGAUACCACCCUGGACAGGCUGAGACUCUAACCCAGCGGAGUUAUCCUCCGCGGGGACCGUGCCAGGUGGGCAGUUUAGCUGGGGCGGCUGCCUCCUAAAAGGUAACGGAGGCGUCCAAAGGUACCCUCAGGCGGGUCGGAAAUCCGCCGUAGAGUACAAGGGCAGAAGGGUGCCUGACUGUGAGGCCGACAGGCCGAGCAGACGCGAAAGCGGGGCCUAGUGACCCACCGGUCCCAUGGGGAAGGGCCGGUGAUCAGCGGAUAAAAGCUACUCCGGGGAUAACGCAUGUUGUCCCGUUAUCCGGGCAACCGGAUAACUAGCACACGGCUUAUAACGGGGGAGCCCUUAUCCCCAGGGUAAUCCCGUGGGAAGUCUGGAGAGGCACCAAUGGUGAGCAAAAGGCAAAGGGAGAUCCUCAUAGGUACGAUAUUGGGAGAUGGAUAUCUCCAAAAAACAGGUAAACGCAACGCAAGGCUAAAACUUGAGCACUCGGAAAAGCAAAAGGAUUACAUCUUUUGGAAAUACGAGGAGCUCAAGAACCUGAUGCAAGAUAGACCAAAGAGGAUUGAGAGGUUUAACCCAAAAUGGGGAAAAACCUACGUGUAUUACCGAUGUCAAACCCACUCUAUGCCUCUGCUGGGAAGGUAUAAAAGAUAUUUCUACGACGAGGGCGGAAAAAAGAGGGUGCCCGAGAACAUAGAAAAGCUUUUGAGGUCUCCCUUGUCUUUGGCAGU